rnacentral:rRNA from 1 species
UACGUAGGGGGCAAGCGGUUGUCCGGAUUUAUUGGGCGUAAAGAGCGUGUAGGCGGCUAGGUAGGUCCGUUGUGAAAACUCGAGGCUCAACCUCGAGACGUCGAUGGAAACCAUCUAGCUAGAGUCCGGAAGAGGAGAGUGGAAUUCCGUGGUGUGAGCGGUGAAAUGCGCAGAUAUCAGGAAGAACACCUGAGGCGAAGGCGGCUAUCUGGCGGUACAUUG